CGGACUGACGGACGGAUGUUUUUUCUUGUUGGAGAAGUAUAGAAAUGCUUACGUUAUAAAAAAAAUCGCAGGGUUCGCGAAUUUCGCGAUAAGAACCAACACCAACCCACUCCUCGGCGCCCCGCGGAGCGAUGCCGUCUUGAUCGCCCCCUCCCAACCCCGGGAAAAGGGACACUACCUAUCUCAGUUGAAGAAACGAUGAUGAAACGUUAACGACAAGAACGGCAUCUCCUAACGAGUUGUCUUAUGGCCUCUGAGAUUUGCGCGCGCAGCUGGCGCGCGCGAACCUGGGAGGCCCUAAUUGGCCGCUUAAUAGCAUAAAAAGACAAAGAUAAUGCCAAAUGACACAGUUAAAAAUUCAAACAAAUAACUGAUCUUAAUUAUACUGUUUGGGAAAAAGAAAUAAAAAAUUAGACAGCCGCAACACACGCCACUAAAGCCACCACCGCCGGCAUAACGCGGAACCAACAGUUGGCAACAUUCAUUCGCGCGUCAUUGCUUCGUUCGCUUCGUCUCCGCAACGAGAGCCGCCAUCUUCUCGCGCCUAACGUUUUGUAUGGCUUUGUUCUCUGCAAUCCGCGCACGCAGCUCAUCGGUGGAUGCACGUCUGCUCGGCGUCGCAAUGCGGCCUGCGUCAUUUUUUGGUGUUCGCGCAAUCGGUGUGAAGCAUGUCGCAUGUGAAAUGUUUGGUAGAAGUGCCUCACGUCCAAGUCAAGCCGCCGUACGGGUGUAUGGCUGUGCGCCCUGUUCUCGGAAGCGUCGACGGGUUUCCGGCAUGCGGAUUUCAGCGUUUGGACUCGACUUUUGGUGAGGCUGUCGAUCGACCUUGGGCCUGGUGACAGCACACCCGACAUCGCCAAAGUGCAGCCUAUCAGUUGAGUGCCCCCGAAUGGACCAUCAACAUCGGAAACUGAAGCAGAGCCAGGGGGAAAAAGUUCCGGUAACACCAUGCAUUCAGUAUGGUGGCCCAGAAGUGUAUGCAAGCAACCUCCUUCAUGUGGACCAAGAACUACUGUGCAGUGUCUCACAGACUUCCAUGCGAAGCCCUCAACAUUCUCGUCUCAGUGGAAUGGCUGCUCAUCUAUCUGCAUGUCCAUCACCAAGACGGCUAGUUGUAAAGCUCCUGUACCCGUUUAAGAAAGCUGAAUGAUUUUUUUUAUUUAGUUUUCACGGUUGGCCGUAGAAUCUUAACAUUUUUGAUGUUUCUAACGUUUUUACCUGGCACAAAGUGGCGCAAUAACUUUAAACCAGUGUAAUGUAUUUAAGUGAUGCUCACUCUAAUGCCUAUCUGGUUUUGUUUGUGUUUAAGAAAUUUGAAUGUCUGAUGAGGUAACAGCAUUUAAAUUUGUCAUCGUGGCUUGUUUCAAUGAGCUGCUAGGAAAUAAGAUGCAAAACUUAUCACACGCCAGUUGUAGCAUUUUUGUAUUCAUGACUAAAGUAUACACGUUUCAAAAGAUGGAAAGUGGGGAAAAAAAGCCUCAAGAACAUAAUCAUCCUAGGAUUGUCAUGUCCUUACAACUCUGCAAUGACUAAUGCCUCAUGCAUCUUGGGAGCACAAUGGUCGCAAUGCCUACAGGUAUACUUGAUAAGAGACUAGCUUGCAAAAAUUUAGUUGAGAGUUAGCGCUCAUCCUGUCUGCUUCUAGUCUGUGUCCAUGCCACUUCGCGCUACAAUCCAAGAUCAUGUCACUGUACCAACUCGCCCAACUUUUUAUCCUUGUGUUAAAGACACACUCAGACUUGUUCUUACUUAUGUGACCGGUUAUUUUUGUGCUUUAUAAUAAGAUGCAGUGCUUUUAGAAUGAAAACGUGAUAUUUAGUAGUGAGGUUAUUUAAAAAAACUGUUCUGCUUAAAAUUUAAUUGAGCAAGCCUGUGCCAUUAUUCGGUGCUUAUGUCUUUGUAUUGGUAUGGUUUUACUCAUCUUCCUUUUUACUUUUAAAAUGUGCAAACAUUAUUAUGUAACCAUUUCUCUUGAAUGAAAUAAAUACUUCUGACAUUUCGUCACAAAUUUUACAA